CGCUGGCGGCGUGCUAAUACAUGCAGUCGAACGAGAAGCGCUGUGUUACAUGGCGUGGACAGUGGCGUCCGGGUGAGUAACACGUAGCUGACCUGCCCUCCGCGGGGGAUACACCGGGAAACCGGUGCUAAUACCGCGUACGCUCAGCGGGGUUAGAGGCCCGUUGAGGAAAGCUCUGGCGGCGGAGGAGGGGGCUGCGGUCCAUCAGCUAGCUGGUGCGGUAAAGGCGCACCAGGGCGACGACGGAUAGGGGACCUGAGAGGGUGACCCCCCACACUGGUACUGACACACGGACCAGACUCCUACGGGAGGCAGCAGUAAGGAAUAUUGCGCAAUGGAGGAAACUCUGACGCAGCAACGCCGCGUGCGGGAUGAAGGUCUUCGGAUCGUAAACCGCUUUUACGGGGGAAGAUAAUGACGGUACCCCGUGAAUAAGUCUCGGCUAACUACGUGCCAGCAGCCGCGGUAAAACGUAGGAGGCAAGCGUUAUCCGGAUUUACUGGGCGUAAAGCGCGUGCAGGCGGUGGUUUAAGUCGUGCGUGAAAGCUCCCUGGCUCAACCGGGAGAGGUCGUGCGAAACUGGAUCACUGGAGGCAGGUAGAGGCAGACGGAAUUCCGGGUGUAGUGGUGAAAUGCGUAGAUAUCCGGAGGAACACCAGUGGCGAAGGCGGUCUGCUGGACCUGACCUGACGCUCAGACGCGAAAGCGUGGGUAGCGAACGGGAUUAGAAACCCCGGUAGUCCAUGCUGUAAACGAUGCUGACUGGGCGUUGGCUCCGUCAAGGAGUCAGUGCCGAAGCUAACGCGUUAAGUCAGCCGCCUGGGGACUACGGCCGCAAGGCUAAAACUCAAAGGAAUUGACGGGGGCCCGCACAAGCAGCGGAGCGUGUGGUUUAAUUCGAGGCUACACGAAGAACCUUACCUGGGCUUGACAUAUGGGUGGUAGGGAACCGAAAGGGGACCGACCUUCGGGAGCCCAUACAGGUGCUGCAUGGCUGUCGUCAGCUCGUGUCGUGAGAUGUUCGGUUAAGUCCGGUAACGAGCGCUACCCCUGGUGUCAGUUAUAAGUGUCUGGCACGACUGCCCGGCUAAACUGGGAGGAAGGUGGGGAUGACGUCAAGUCAGCAUGGCCU
rnacentral:rRNA from 1 species